rnacentral:rRNA from 1 species
AGAGCGAACGCUGGCGGCAGGCUUAACACAUGCAAGUCGAGCGCCCCGCAAGGGGAGCGGCAGACGGGAGAGUAACACGUGGGAACGUACCUUUCGGUUCGGAACAACCCAGGGAAACUUGGGCUAAUACCGGAUACGCCCGCAAGGGGAAAGAUUUAUCGCCGGAAGAUCGGCCCGCGUCUGAUUAGCUAGUUGGUGAGGUAACGGCUCACCAAGGCGACGAUCAGUAGCUGGUCUGAGAGGAUGAUCAGCCUCACUGGGACUGAGACACGGCCCAGACUCCUACGGGAGGCAGCAGUGGGGAAUAUUGGACAAUGGGCGCAAGCCUGAUCCAGCCAUGCCGCGUGGGUGAUGAAGGCCCUAGGGUUGUAAAGCCCUUUGGCGGGGAAGAUAAUGACGGUACCGCAGAAGAAGCCCGGCUAACUUCGCGCCAGCAGCCGC